GUCAGGGAUGCUGGCAAACAUCCUGCAAGGCCCAGGACAGCCCCCACAACAAAGAAUUAUCAAAAUAUCAAUAGUGCUGAGGCUGAGAAACCCUGAUCCAGUCUCUAAAACAUCUGCCCAAUGAGACGCUCCAAAAAUGUGAGGAAAUGUCUCUUUUUAUAAGCCGUAAUGCCUCUGGGUCCAGCUAGGGUGGCUACAAGUAGACAGGAGUGAGAUUUAAAUAGAAGCGAGACUCCCAACAAGGAAGCACCGUGUCACAUGUCCACCACCACGUGAAUAUUCAAAAGCUGUUUACACUGUGGCAGAAAAAGAGAGAGAAAUUUGCGUAAAGUCACAAAAGGGCUUUCUGGGUGCAAUCAAUGUAUCUUUUCAUCAUCUCUCCCAUGUUGCAUCAUUACAAAGGAGACUCGGGCUCUGCUCUUAUCUCUGCCAACGACAGCAGCAGCAGUAUCAACAUCAGCCACCAUUUACUGAACACUUCUUAUGAACCAGGCAUGGCAUAACCUGUGCCACUGAAAGUGCAUCUGCAGAUCGGCUGGUUUGUAAAAUGGUACCCGUUGGUGAGAGAAGGAGCUUGUGGAAGAAUGCAAAUCAACCACAUCACCAGGCCACUGUUUAGUUCAGCUGAUACCUAUAUACAUUUAUGUCUGUAUAAUACAGAUACAAUAUAAAUAUAUACACAAUAAAUAGAUAUUACAUUA